rnacentral:tRNA from 3 species
GGGGGCUUAGCUGGGAGAGCGCCUGCUUUGCACGCAGGAGGUCAGCGGUUCGAUCCCGCUAGUCUCCACCA